CCGCCGGCGGCAGCAGCGCGGAGGCGGCGGGAGGCGGCGGCGGGGCCCCGCUCCAGCAGGGGGCUUUGUCAACCAGAAGCCCACCAGGCCCAGAGAACAACAACCUUGACCAGCAGUGCCCAGAAGGCAGCAAGAAGGGUUUGGGGCAGCCCACAAUACUGUAUGAUUACUCGGAGGAGGAGCUGAUGGCCAGCAUCGAGCGGGAGUACUGCCGCUGAGCCCACCACAGAACGGCAGGCACAGCCUGGAGCCCAGCGAGCAGAGCUGCUGUGACACCACAACUGCAUGGAGAGGGGGCUGCUUGGGGAGCACUGAGGAGAAAGUUCACCUGAUCAGCUCCCAGUGAGAGCAGGAAGAUCCUCACCAGCUGCUGAUUUCUGAUUGGUGCCACUGCAAGAAGAACCAAUUAAUCUUAAGAAUCGAUAUUUAGAAGCUCAUUUCUAAAUGCUAUUUUUAAAUGAACAUGUACUAGAAUUAGUGUCAUACUAGAGGUGUUGAAAUGUGGUGCUUUGAAGGAAUCUAUGAACCUAGUAAAAUCUUGCAGCAAUAUCAUCUGAUCCAGAACUUUAGGGGAUGUUGAAUGAAAUUAAUGUUUCUGCCACCUAAAAUGUGCCAAAUUGCACUUGUGCAAGCCUCAGGUUCAGAUCUGAGUUUGGUACUGUCUCUUUCAAUCUGAUCCCAGUCUGGUCCCCAGUAUGGGAGAUGAGAGGAAAAGGGGAUUGAGCCCACUAUCUAGCACAUAGGCAGUGUAAACCCAGAGUUCAAAUCCCACCACACUGCCAAAUUAGGCUCCUGGGAGCCAUCAGUGAGCACAGGAUUUGUGUGAUCCCUUUGGGGCAGGGUCCCAACAUAGGUGUCCUACCUGGGCAUAGAUCCAUUACAGUGAUGGGAGUGAAAGCAGGAGGCACAUCCCCAUUUCAGUCAUCCUCCUCAAUUUGCAUGCUCUUGUAGAGCAGCUGUUUGGGAUCAGUUUUCAGAAUUGCUGCUCCUGGCCCUUCCCUAAUAUUUCUUGUCCUACAAGAAAAAUCACUGCAUUUUACCAUUAGCUGACUGCAAAGUAAACCAGAAAGUUCUCUCUUCUAAGGAAAUAGUAUUUUCCGUUCUCCCAGACAGGGAAGCCUGGUAUUUUGGGUUUCUGCUUUUAUUAUAUCUGCAUGUUAAUGUAUUAUGAGUAUCUGCUUAUUAUCAGAAGUAGAAAAAUACUUUAUUUCUAUCUUCUGAAGCAUAAAAGGCAUCAGAUGAAAUUUUCACUGCAUGUAAAUGCAAGAAAAAACUGCAGGACACCUCUUAAAAUGCUGUAUUUUAAGUACUUUAUGAUUCCCGGGACCUGUGAAACAAAUAAAUGCAUCUAUACUCUGAA